rnacentral:lncRNA from 10 species
UCUCAGCUUACCAUGAUCCAGGCAGGCAAUAAAAGAUAAGAAAGCCUGAAGAAGAACAGAUGUGUUAGAAGUGUGAAAUGGAUUAACAUCAAAGCCCCCUGGGAAAAAUCUGAAACAUGAAAUGCAGGCUCCUGACUGACAAGAGCUAUUCAGAGAGCGUUCAAAGCCCGGCAGUGCAUUUCGGGCUGUGUCUCUUCCUGAGCUGUGAGAGGCCUGUGUGGCAGGUAGAGAUGCUCGGGGAAAAAAAAAUCCCUUUCUGAACUUUGGGGAAAUGUAGCCUCUGCGUGUGCUGAUGUGCAAGAGAAGGGAAAGGCAAGGCACUUUUUUUUUAACCAUGAAAAGACACAGUCUGUUUCAUAUAUAGGCAGAGAAACAAGCCACUGAUGUAUUUGAUACGAAGGGUAGUGGGAAGCACUCCAUGCAUAAAAUCCUGCUUACCCAUCACAGUGACUCCAGUGUUCAGUAUUUAUGAGUAAUUCUUCUGGUCUUUACAGGCUAGAAGCAGUAAGUGCCCAAUAUCCCUUGUCAUUCUACCAUGACCUCAUAGAUUUUAAAGAAUCAGGAAAAACUAGUUAUUUAUUUUCAUUCCUUAGUAGUACAAGGCCAGAGGCUAGAAACUACAUUAUCUUUCACAAUAAUUUCACACUAGUUAUUUUUAACUUAUAAUAUUUUUAGAAAGUAUAUUUGUUUUAAACACAUAAACUUGGCUGUUUGUCAAAGUUGAAGGGUAAAUUUAGUGACAGCUUAGAUCUGGAAAUCCUGAAUGUGAUUUGAUAAAGAUAAAUAUAAUAAGACAAAAAGUGGGAGAGAACCCUUUGGAAUUACAGUGAGCAUCCUAAUUAGAGAAUGUGUCCCACCCAUUAUUAUAGAUCUUAAGACUGAGUUAUCACCUCACUUUAUGACCAUGCUUUCAAUGGUUAGACCUUUAGAUUGUGACUGCAAAGCAAUUAGACCUUUGAUUCUUCUUUUUGAAGCCGCAGUGAAACACCUAUAAACAAAAUGGUCCUUAGGCAUUUAACCUUGCAGCCCCCAUGGGGGUAUAUUUAAAGUGAUAAGACCUUCUUUAUGAAGGUGAGAUUGAUGGUGGAGGAAAGUCAAAAGACAUUGAAAUUGCACCUGCCAAAUAAAGUGAUUCUACUUUUCAUAAACUAACUCCAGAAGCCAUUUUUUUGUCUCUUAGGAAAGUUAGAAGAUAGUGGAAAAUGUCUAUUUACUUGUAAUGAAGAAUCAUGAAUAUCCCAACUCAUCUCCUAUCAGAACUUACACCCACUAAGGAAAACGCACUUCUGUUCCAACCUUUUCUACACAAUUUAAAAUAUCAAUUAAUUAACUGAGUCAACAAAUAUUUAUUAGGAGUGUCUGAUUUUCUAGGCAAUAUUGUGGGAAUACGAGUGAGAACAAAAAUUUUUGAUUAUGAUUGAUGCAUCUCACACUGGGUAAUUAUUUAUGUAAAUCAACCAUGUGGCGUUUGUCAUAUCUGCUUGUUUAUUG